GACGGAGGGUGCUAGCGUUGUUCGGAAUUACUGGGCGUAAAGGGCGCGUAGGCGGCCGCUCAAGUCGGGUGUGAAAGCCCGGGGCUCAACCCCGGAACUGCACUCGAGACUGUGUGGCUGGAGAUCGGAAGAGGAGAGUGGAACACCCAGUGUAGAGGUGAAAUUCGUAGAUAUUGGGUAGAACACCGGUGGCGAAAGCGGCUCUCUGGUCCGAUUCUGACGCUUAGGCGCGAAAGCGUGGGGAGCAAACAGG
rnacentral:rRNA from 1 species